UUAAUUAUUCAGCUCUGAAUUUCAGAGGAUUGGUUGCAUCUGGACAUGGCAAAAUCCAGUAAAUAGAGUUGAUCGGACACCUGGAUGUUCGGGUCCGGCGGGUUCGGCCGAACUUUGAAAAAAAGUUGCUCAGGCACUUUGUUGACUCUAGAGAACCUCGGGCCAAUCACACAUCCCCGUGACGGCGACUUUGCAUUCGGAUGUCAUCCUUAUAAACUUUCGAUGCCAGUUUCUGCGCCUUCCAGGGUGACUACUGGUAACAGGGAAUAAGGGUUCCAUUCCAUACAGGGACUCUGAGAAAUGGCUACCACAUGCAAGGAAGGCAGCAGGCGCGCAAAUGACCCACUCCCGACGCGGGAAGGUAGUGACGA